GUGUAAAACCAACCAAUGUCAAAUGAGCUCGGUGACCAUCAUCCAGUGUUAAUCACUGAGUCAGCGAAUCACCCUGACUGUAAUUAUCUCAGUUCACG